rnacentral:rRNA from 1 species
CCCUUAGAUGUCCUGGGCCGCACGCGUGCUACACUGACGCCUACAGCGAGUACUUCCCAGCCCCGAGAGGUGGCUGGUAAUCAGCAAUAGGCGUCGUGAUGGGGAUAGAUCUUUGGAAUUAUGGAUCUUGAACGAGGAAUGCCUAGUAAGCGCAGGUCAUUAGCCUGCGCUGAUUAAGUCCCUGCCCUUUGUACACACCGCCCGUCGCACCUACCGAUUGAAUGGUCCGGUGAAUCUUUAGGACUGUGGCUGAGGCCUUGCCUUGUGCGGGUCUGGCCGUGGGAAUUUAGUUAAACCUUACCAUUUAGAGGAAGGUGAAGUCGUAACA